UUAGGAUUUGAAUUAGGAUUUGAUUUAGGGUUUAGGAUUUGGUUUAGGGUUUAGGGUUUGAUUUAGGAUUUAUUUAGAAUUUAAGAUUUGAUUAGGAUUUGGUUUAGGAUUUAGGAUUUGGAUUAGGAUUUGGUUAGGGUUUGAUUUAAGAUUUAGGAUUUAGUUAGGAUUUGAUAUAGGAUUUAGGAUUUGGAUUAAGGUUUGAUUUAGGAUGUGAUUGGGGUUUGGUUUAAGGUUUGUUUUGGGUUUGAUUUAAGGUUUAGGAUUUUAUUAGGAUUUAAGAUUCAAUUAGUUUUGGCCUAAAGUUUGAAUGAAGUUUAAUAGGAUUUUAACUAGAAUUAAAUUAAGAUUGAAUUGAGAUGUAUUUGAGUGAUAUUUGUGAUCCUUCUAAUAUUUCUUUAAGAAUUCUUAUUGUU
rnacentral:lncRNA from 1 species